rnacentral:lncRNA from 1 species
CUUCCUGACAGCUGUGAUAGCGUGCCAAGCACUGCAUUAGGGACUAGGGGUGGGGAUGAUGAAGGCAGGGGCUGCUCCUGUAGCUGAGAUCUGGGGUUGACCUUCGGAGUCAGUGUGAGGAGGUCAGAGAAUGACCGAUUUGGGUUUUAGCCUACUAACUGAUCACUGAGAGCAACCCCAUGAACAUGCUAAGCAGGAUUAAAUUUAUCAGUGUUGGGACAGCUCUGUGGAGUAGCUGGAGCCAUCCCUGCGUUUGCCGCCGGGGUUAGGUGCAGUGUGAGUGGAAGAAAGACCUUCAUUCUGGAGGAUGCUCUGCUUGGCCUGGAUGCUGCCCAUCAGAAGCCCCAGCAAGACUGUUUUCAGCAGGAAUUCCCCAGGUUUGAUGACAUCAUUCUGCUCGCUGUCCCAGUACUGAGUGUCCUCCAAGCCUCACUUUUCCCCCUGCGGUCCGGCAGAGAAUGGUGGCGUCACCCUAGAGCGAGGAUUUGCAGUCCCUGAAGGAUUUUGUUAGUUCUCCAUUACUUUUGUUACCUGAGACCCAUCUUUUCAUCCUGUUCCUCCUCUUCCUUGACGACCUGGGAUGUUUCCACACUGAGACAAAGAGGAAGAGACACAUCUAAGCAAUUCUCUACAGAUAGUCUCACUCAUCUCUGUCCUGAGUUCUCCUUGUGACAAGUCCAAAAGCUUGGCCACAGUCCUGAGGCAAAAAGUUUCAUGGAAACUGGUCUCUUGGAGUCUUUGGCAUCCCAUAACAUGGAUGUGGUCCAGAUAUGUCCUUGCAAUAGUCGUGAAGGGUUUAGUGUGCUUUCUUUCAAUAUUGUUUUUAUUAUAAGUGCCUCCAAGGAAUGAUUUGACAAAUAGCUAAGUUAGAUUGAACAUUGCUUCCUGGCCUCUACCAGUGUUCCAAUAUCCUAGGAAAUUGUUGAGCUGACCUUGGGCUUUGAAUUUCGUAAGAAUGUUACUUAUUCAGACAAAAUGCCUCCAGUGUUGAAAGAGAGAUAGUGAAAGAAAUCAGGCAUUGCAGUUUACUGGUUAAGAGUAGAAAUCUCAGAACAAGUUCUACAAAAUAAACUUGGAAUUCUCACUACAGUCAGGUAUGGCAGACUACAUUACAUAUUAAAAGAAAGUUGGUGGGCUCCUCUGUUAAAUGGAGGUUCCCUAUGGAUACUUAGAAUAACAACCAAGUCACACCCAUAUGCAGGAAUUUACAAUGGUCUAGGAAAAAGGAGGGUUGUGGUUUAAGAAGGAACUAGAGUAAAUACUUAGAAUAACAGCCAAGUCACUUCCAUAUACAGAAAUUUACAAUGGCCUAGGGAGAAGGUGGAUUAUACGAUAGACUAGAAUUGGAACUAUAGCUAGGGCGUGAAACCCUUGCCCCUGGCUUCUAAGAAUAAGCUGACCUUAGGUAGGUAUGAUUUUUAUCUCAGUUGUAAACACUGCCUGGUUCUUGCUAGCUUUUAUGUAUACAUUCCUCUGUUUUGUGUCAUUAUGCAUCAGAUGACUUCAAUGUAUCUUGGCUGAUGUGUCACCUGACUUCCUUGUUUUCUUCUGUAAUAUAAGUCUAAUGCUUGCUUUGAGACAUUACAUUCAGAUUCAACACU